rnacentral:pre_miRNA from 1 species
UAUUAGGUUGGUGCGAAAGUAAUUGCCGUUUUGCCAUUGAACGUAAUGGCAAAACGGCAAUUACUUUUGCACCAACCUAAUA